CCCUACGGGGCGCAGCAGUGGGGAAUAUUGCACAAUGGGGGAAACCCUGAUGCAGCGACGCCGCGUGAGCGAAGAAGUAUCUCGGUAUGUAAAGCUCUAUCAGCAGGGAAGAAAAUGACGGUACCUGACUAAGAAGCCCCGGCUAACUACGUGCCAGCAGCCGCGGUAAUACGUAGGGGGCAAGCGUUAUCCGGAUUUACUGGGUGUAAAGGGAGCGCAGGCGGCGCGGUAAGUCUGAUGUGAAAGCCCGGGGCUCAACCCCGGGACUGCAUUGGAAACUGUCGAGCUGGAGAGUCGG
rnacentral:rRNA from 1 species